CACCUGGAGGGCAAGUCUGGUGCCAGCAGCCGCGGUAAUUCCAGCUGCAGCAGUGUAUACCAACAUUGCUGCUGUUAAAAAGCUCGUAGUUGAUGGCGGAUGGCUGGACGGAAUGAGGUUUGAAGGUGCUAGGAUCACUCUUUCUUCUCUGGAGAGGGUGUUGACUGGUGCUUUCUUGUAUCACCUUUGUUUUGUCUGGCUGUCGCCGAACCGUGGAACUGUACUCCCUGUGGAGGGGUGAUCUCCUUAAUUGGGGGUUGUCCUGAAGCUGCCGUCGCACAGAACUCCUGUGUGUACAAACGACAUUGGAUCGGGUACUCUAAUUACCUGUGUCUCUGGGGAGCGUCCGUGGCCGUUACCAUGAACAAAACAGCGUGCCCAACGUGGCUGUCAUGUCGGUGGAAUGUUCGAGCGUGGGAUGACAAGUGAUCGACCAGCGUGGUGUUCCCAAUCCUUUCUGUCAGUGUUGUCCAUCCGCAUGGGGAAGCGUCGCUGUUUGGGGCCCAUUGUUCUCAAAGCGCUACUCACCUCUUUCUUCCAUCCUCCACUCUCGGAGUGUGUGGGAGAUCAAAGGAGGGGGGGAAGUGUGAUGGGAAUUCAACACCCACAGCAUCGGAAGUGAUGAGACACGUUCAGGGCUUUGUGCAUUGUGCCGCGAGAGGUGAAAUUCUCAGACCGAUACGAGGCGAACCGGAGCUAAGGCGUUAUGCAGGUGUAUGUCUGUCAAUCAAGAACGAGUGCGUGGGGAACGAAGAUGAUCAGAUACCGUUGUAGUCCACCUUGCCGUAAACGAUGCCAGCCAGAUGUCGGUGAGUUGUUCCUGCCUGGGGACGACUUCAUCGGCAUAAUUCUCCCUUCAUCGAGAAAUCCUGAGCCUUUGGGUUCAGGGGGGAGUACCGUCGCAAGGCGGAAACUUAAAGGAAUUGACGGAACGACACCACCAGACGUGGAGUAUGCGGCUUAAUUUGACUCAACACGGGGAACGUUACUGCGUCAGCACAAGGCUGGGAUGGACAGGUUGAUCGCCCUUUCUCGAUUCCUUGAACGGUGGUGCAUGGCCGCUUCUGGUUGGUGGAGUGAUUUGUCUGGCUGAUUCCGUUAACGAGCGAGAUCCCCGCCUCCAAUUGGUCACCGGCCUCGUACUUUGUAGGGGAUUCAGUCUUUCUGCUGUUCUUUUCAGUGGUUAGAUCUAUGAGCCCUGAGAGCGUCGGUGCAAAACAUCUCAGAGGGCCGGACACGCAUCCAAGUGUCGACAUAUUCAGAAGGCGACAGCAGGUCUGUGAUGCCCCCAGAUGUUCCGGGCUGCACGCGCACGACAUUGACUCGGUGAUCGCGCUGAACACACAAAAAAAGCCUCCCCUCUUUGCUUCCUCAGUGAGCAAUUUGGGGUGGGUUCCUACCUGGACGCGGAUGGGCCAUCUCAAAAGCCCGUGCCGUACUGGGGAUCGAUGGUUGCAACUGUUUGCCUUGAACGAGGAAUGCCUUGUAGGCGCAGGUCAUCAGCCUGCAUCGACUAUGUCCCUGCCAUUUGUACACACCGCCCGUCGUUGCUACCGAUGAUGUGGGGAUAGAGGACUGGAGAGGCUGUGGGAGAGACCCCUUCUCUGGGGGAAUCACUCAUUCGUGCCAAACCUGCCCAAUGUUCACGUGUUAGAGAUAGCAAAAGUCGUAACAAGGUUGUCGUAGGUGAACCUGCAGAAAGGAUCA
rnacentral:rRNA from 1 species